rnacentral:lncRNA from 1 species
UUGAAACCAAUUUAAAUUUCAAAACCCUAAAUCGAUCCAUAAAUUCCCCUUCUCCCCUCUUCUCUCCUCCAAUUCCCAUUCCCAAACCCUAAUCCCGCUGAGAGCGCUGCAUCUUGGGGCGCGAUCUCAUCUCCAAUCCGCGAAUCACUUCUCCUCUCUCUCUCUCUCUCACACAAUCUCAAUCUCUCUCCAUUUCUUGAUCUAUGAAGGGCUCCAAGUUCCGAGUGAU